rnacentral:rRNA from 1 species
UACGUAGGGUCCGAGCGUUGUCCGGAAUUAUUGGGCGUAAAGAGCUCGUAGGCGGUUUGUCGCGUCGAAUGUGAAAACCCGGGGCUCAACCCCGGGCCUGCAUUCGAUACGGGCAGACUAGAGUUCGGUAGGGGAGUCUGGAAUUCCUGGUGUAGCGGUGAAAUGCGCAGAUAUCAGGAGGAACACCGGUGGCGAAGGCGGGUCUCUGGGCCGAUACUGACGCUGAGGAGCGAAAGCGUGGGGAGCGAACAGG